rnacentral:lncRNA from 1 species
GCUCUUAUCAACUUUUGACUUUUUAUUUUGACUGGGCUUUGGAGCCCUAGCAUGCUGCACCUUCUUUUUGUUCUUCUUCUUUUCUUUCUUAAAGGGAUGACGUCCAGAAGAAGAACCACCCACCAUAUUCAUUGGCUCCUUUUGAAGCUAGUUAUCCUUCUCAAAAGUCUAUGAUAGCCCUAGCAAACUAUGAUAGUUUACUAUAGACUUAGUCAUUCUGUAAUGGCU